AGCGAACGUUAGCGGCGGGCUUAACACAUGCAAGUCGCACGCGAAAGCCCUUCGGGGUUAGUAGAGUGGCGCACGGGUGAGUAACACGUAGGCAAUCUGCCCUCAGGAGGGGGACAACCGCCCGAAAGGGCGGCUAAUACCGCACGAGACCACGGUGGCUACGGCCGCUGAGGUAAAAGCUGGCCUCUGCUUGCAAGCUAGCGCCUGAGGAUGAGCCUGCGGACCAUCAGCUAGUUGGUGGGGUAAUGGCCCACCAAGGCAAAGACGGAUAGCUGGUCUGAGAGGAUGAUCAGCCACACUGGCACUGAAACACGGGCCAGACUCCUACGGGAGGCAGCAGUGGGGAAUAUUGGACAAUGGGCGAAAGCCUGAUCCAGCCACGCCGCGUGAGUGAUGAAGGCCUUCGGGUUGUAAAGCUCUGUGGGGAGGGACGAAAAAAGUGGAUAAGAAACGAUCCGCUCUUGACGGUACCUCCUUAGCAAGCACCGGCUAACUCUGUGCCAGCCGCCGCGGUAAAAC
rnacentral:rRNA from 1 species